UGCACCACAAUGAUUCUAAAGGUGGUUUAGAAUGUGGUUUCUUUGCACGCUCAAGAUAUUCUGGUUUCAGGUCCCUUCUUUAAUGCCGUGCGACUGAAGGAGAGCUGUCACACACGGCCGUCUCAAACGGAUCAGAUUUAAGCUCAUCCAUCUGAGUGUCUUCUGAAAAUCCAUCCUGUAGGUCUUCUCUUUUUGGAUUAAUCCCGCUGUUUUGCCUCAU